AGAGUUUGAUCCUGGCUCAGACUGAACGCUGGCGGCAGGCCUAACACAUGCAAGUCGAGCGGAUGACGGGAGCUUGCUCCUUGAUUCAGCGGCGGACGGGUGAGUAAUGCCUAGGAAUCUGCCUGGUAGUGGGGGACAACGUUUCGAAAGGAACGCUAAUACCGCAUACGUCCUACGGGAGAAAGCAGGGGACCUUCGGGCCUUGCGCUAUCAGAUGAGCCUAGGUCGGAUUAGCUAGUUGGUGGGGUAAUGGCUCACCAAGGCGACGAUCCGUAACUGGUCUGAGAGGAUGAUCAGUCACACUGGAACUGAGACACGGUCCAGACUCCUACGGGAGGCAGCAGUGGGGAAUAUUGGACAAUGGGCGAAAGCCUGAUCCAGCCAUGCCGCGUGUGUGAAGAAGGUCUUCGGAUUGUAAAGCACUUUAAGUUGGGAGGAAGGGCAGUAAGCUAAUACCUUGCUGUUUUGACGUUACCGACAGAAUAAGCACCGGCUAACUCUGUGCCAGCAGCCGCGGUAAUACAGAGGGUGCAAGCGUUAAUCGGAAUUACUGGGCGUAAAGCGCGCGUAGGUGGUUCGUUAAGUUGGAUGUGAAAGCCCCGGGCUCAACCUGGGAACUGCAUCCAAAACUGGCGAGCUAGAGUACGGUAGAGGGUGGUGGAAUUUCCUGUGUAGCGGUGAAAUGCGUAGAUAUAGGAAGGAACACCAGUGGCGAAGGCGACCACCUGGACUGAUACUGACACUGAGGUGCGAAAGCGUGNGGAGCAAACAGGAUUAGAUACCCUGGUAGUCCACGCCGUANACGAUGU
rnacentral:rRNA from 1 species